AAAUAACCAGACAUAAUUAUUUAAUGAAUAGAAAAAUCCAAAGAACAACAUUUAUUUGUUUCUUUUUUUCUUGUAACAAUUAGUCUUUUCUGUCAUUUUGAUUAAUUUAAUGCAUCCUUGCUGACUAUCAAUUUCAAUAUGUUUAAAUAAAUUUCUUAAAAAAAAAAAAAAAAAACUUACUGAACUUUUGAACAGUCAUUCAUACACACACACAUGGACACACACUAUUAUGAAAAUAUAGUAAUACGUCUUAAGUCGAUGGCACAACAUACAGGCAUAAAGCAGUUUUAGGGAGCCCAAAUCAUUUUUAGAUUGAUAACUUUGUUGAUUUUUGUAUGAAAGGCAACCGUAUUUUAACAUAAAAACUACUUCAGGUUCAACACUGAUGCAUGUUUUUGUGUAACAAACUGAAUGGGACAUCUCAGCUCACAAAACUGUUAAAGGUUAACUAUGUUUAAACUCAACUGUCAUCCAAAUUCCCACACAGAGUAUUCCCUGUUCUGCUAUGUUGCUUCCAUUAACUUUAGCUGACGAUAAUCGCUUCUGCUUUCUCUUUACCCAGCUGGCCAGCUCAGAUAGAAGAACUCAAGCCUCAUUUGAACAGUCAGUAUGCACCUACUCCAUAGACAGUGUAAACCAGAGGAGGCUAUGUUCACCCAUCCAGAAUAAAGCGUUAUUGAGGAUGAAAUGGGAUUUUUAAUUGGCUAGGGUUACAGUGCCAUGUAAGGGCUCCAACAGGUCCGGUGCUGUCACAAUGGCACUGUCCUACAAUCCGAGGCCAUGGCAUUCGGCACAAAUGCGUGUCUUUUCACGUUACAUGGAAUAAUGGCAUUAUGGGAGGAUCCAUUUUGUGGAGUAGAAUGCAGGCCUUUUUGAAAUUAAACCCCCUUAUGACACUGUAUUUGCAUUUUAGACAGGUUUAGAUUACUAGCAGGAAUAUCUCAUUUGUUUUUAUUAAACACUGGAGACGAGAUGUUCUGGAGUGCAUUAUGUUCUGUCAGACUAGAAUUUUUUAUUUUUUUGAAGUUCUGCAUUGCAUUAACUUUACCUCUGAAUUUAUGAUUAAUGCAGGACUCCAGGGCUCACCUAUCAUGCUCCAUAGCCUGUUGUUCUUGGGAAAUCAAUAUCUGAAAGGUGCAAGGAUUUCACCCAGAGCUUCAUGCUUCCCUGGCUCAAUGUGUGUUUUACCAGAUUCAAUUGGAAGCACAUGGUUGCUGAGAAAUGAGCUGGGAGAAGUGACCCCUUUAACCUCUAAAGUUUCUGAAAGGAAGAAAAAGCAGGAAAGUGGUAUCUGGUUGGCAUGAGGAGAUAGUGUGUGUGUGGGAUUGGUGUGGUGGGGGAAAUUGGGGAGGUGUUGGUCAGUCAAGUGGGAAAAGGCCUCAGUUUUUCAUUUCAUCAAGCAAUAAAACCCCCAAGGCCUUGUGGCCUUUAUCUGUGCUGUGAUCUAAGUACAUUAUAAGGCUGAAACUCAAUGUUGAGAAAGCAGCUGGAGGAAGUGAUGAUUACUACAGAAAGUCCAGGCAAAGUAAUGAGAAAGUAGUGCUGGAUAACAUCAGAACCAAUUAAGUCCAUCCAGGUUCAAUUCAACCUUGAAAAUUUUCAUCCAUCAUCUAUUCUGAAUCCUGUCUAAAUGUACAGAUUAAUUUGCUUUAAAAUACAGGGAGGAAUUCAGUGAGAAUGAGGUGUGCCUGCUGAUAGUUUAUUUGCAUGCUGUGCAUUGUUUUACUGCCCAAUCCACUAAAGGAAUUAUGCAAAUCUAGGCACCAAAGCAAACAUGCUUCCAAAAAUAUGUAUUUUUUUAAUUAUUAUUGCUCAGUUAUGGAGAAUGCAGCAGACUAUCACAAUCUGGCAUACUUUACUGGAACUGUAGCACCCACUGCGACCCAUUUUAAAAGGCCAAAAAUGAGUGUUUUCAAGGCACUUCUGGGUGUAUGCCUGGUUAUUGCACUGUUCUCCAUCAUUUGAUCUUUAUUUGACGAAUUACUGCUGCCAUAAAAUGCAAAAAAAAAAAAACAUCUCUUUUUAAUAAAAUUCUGUUUACCUCCUGCGGUCUGUGGGCUGUAUAGUGCUGCGAUUUGUAAUUAAGCCGCAAUCUAUAAAUAAUAAACCUAAUUUACAUUUGUGCUGUAUAGAAUCGCAGCGACUUCCACAGAUUUUACCGCUGAUAUUUCCUGGUUAGUAAAUAAGAUGUCGGAAUGAAAUGAGUUAAUUCACCCCACGCUGUUUAGUCUCAUCUAAUUCUGAAUGCAAUCUUACAAACCCAGGACUUGUGAUGUUACAGCGAUAAUUAAUGUGGAUUUUUGUCAGCUGUAGGAUGACUCAAAGUGAGCAUGUGAUAAAGAGAUGCUCUGACAAAAGCGUGACACACAUGCAAUGGAUUCAUAUCAAGUUAUGCUCUAUUUUCAGUGAAUGACACCUUUAAUUGAUGCAGCGACUGGGGACUCAUGUACUGCAGAUGGGUGUGAAAAUACAGAGGGAUUGAGAAAGAGGGAGAAGUAUUGCUGCUGUUUUCCCUAAGCAUGAAAAAUGAGACAGAGUCAGUCUCAACCAUAUUAUCCCUCUCCCAAAGUGCUUUGUAGACAGCCAUUCAUCUUUCUGCAUCGCGCCCCCUUUUCUGUCACUCCUGUCUCAUCUCUACACCUCUCAUCCUGCUCCACUAUCCUCCUCCACCUGAAUAUAAUUUGCUGAAACUUUACCAAAGCAGCUCAGGGCCUGCUUUGAGCCAACUCAUCUUCAUUGGCUCAGACCAUUUGACACUGACCGUCAUGUCACACAUCUCCAUUGUCUAAUCAUCACCGUUACGUUCAGCUUCGUAAUAGCUCUGGCGGACCUGUUACAGAUGUACUGUUUAAUGACAAACAGUAAUCAGGAGGGAUUUGGUGAUGCAUUUAAUCUGUGGUUUUACAGCUUUGUCCAUGGAUGAUUUUAUCCCCUGAGGCAGAUUCUUACGAGCUCACUUACUCAGCCUGACAGAAAGCUUUGUCGGAGCAGCAUGAUUAAAAAAAAAAAAAAAGCACAGCAUUGGGAAAGGGGUGUGUGUGUGUGUGUGUGUGUGUGUGUGUGUGUGUGUGUGUGUGUGUGUGUGUGUGUGUGGUGGGGGGGGGUGAUCACAAUUAGGCUUUGUAUCUUAACAACAACCACCUGGCAGACUUUUCUUUGAUGGCAACUCAUUACUUUUUCAUAUUUAAGUUCAAAGAAUGAAUAAAACAUUAGAAUGUAGAUAAAUGAACUUUUCUGUAUAAUUAAAAUGUUAGUUUUAACAAGUAAUGGUAUUUAAAUCACAUUUUAUGUUUUUGGUGCCCAUUUGUGGAUGCUUGUGUGUGAUAGUGUAUAUUAUUGAUAAAAAAUGGAGGGUAUAUUGGAAAAUAUUCCUCUUUUAUUUUGUUUCUCCAUUCCUCACCACUCUUAUCUGAAUUUGUGGCAGGCAAGAGCUCUGCAAGUGUCUCCUGUUCACAUCCGUCAAGUGGUAUUUGGACAACACCCGUCCAGGAGAGCAAGAUUGUGUGCGUGAGUAUUCAGGACAAACACAUCCCUCAAUAUUACAUUCAGAGAGAUGAAUGUCUCUUCUUUGUUGUUUUAUCUACGAUAGUUAUACAUGGUUAUUUGGAGUGUGAGACGGAGGUCUCAAAGAGGAUAUUUGCUGAUAAGUGUGCCAGUGAGAACAGCAAUUUUAUUCAGGAUGAUGUUAGUCCUGUUGAACCAAAGACUGAUCAUUUUACUCCUAAAACACCCCAUGAACUCAAGAGAGGCCAUGUCUAUUACAUUAGUACAUACUAGUGUGUAUUUAUUUAUUUUAUUUAUUUAUUUUAAAUAAAAUAAACUGUAUUAGCCAUAUUUUCAGAACUGAGUGAUUUAGCAGUUAAAAUCUAAUAUUUAUUAAUUUUUUUAUUUAUUUUUAAUUUUAUUGUUAUUUUAUUGAAAGUUUUGUAUUUAAUUUAUUUAAUUUAAUUGUAUUAUUUAUUUAUUUUUAAAUCUGACCAAAUAUCUUCCGUCAAACUGCAUCUGCCAUAUUAAUUUAAUUUUAUAAAUAAUUGUAAUUAUGUUUAGCAGUUGAAAUUUUAAAUGUAUUUUAGGCUUUUGCUCAAAUAAUUAUUUUGUUAAAUUUAAUUGAACUUCAGUUCAUUUUUUGUGAAAGUAUAUUUGUGAAUGAAUGUUUUUCUCUGGUGUAAAUUCAGUGAAAUUGCUUCCCAUACAAUCACACUUUGCCUGCUUUGCUGUUGAUCUUUGCUAUGUGUGGAAGGCUGGCUUGAAAGCCUCCCAUCCUCCCCACUGGCAGCUCCUCCAUUACUUACAAAGUGCUUCAUCUCUCUCUGCUGAGGCUGGUCUACUGUGCUACUUCUGAUUAAUGAUGGUGCCAUUCCAGCUCAAUUUAUUACCAUACAUUUCACCAUGCAAUACAAUCCAGCACGUUCACCCUGUGCGGAGGUAUUAACAUUGUGCCAUGAUACUUGACACUAUAAUAGUGAAAAUUAUAAGAACUUAUUUGUCUGGCAUUUGAGACAAAUCCAUUAGGCUGACUUGAAUAAUAGCUGAGCUUAAUCUAAGACACAACCUUGUGCCCCUCAGGUGCUUAUAUUGAACACAUUUAAUAGUCAAAAGAGCAUUAUAUAAUAAUAAAAUCCAUUGAGGAUCAGAAAAUUGCUGACGGAAUUGAACAAAAACGAUCAAACUGUAAUAUAUCAUACUACAUUACCUGCAAGAUACACAAAACUUUGGGUUUAGAUUAUAGAGACAAGCAUAAAUGUUCUCUUUUAUAUGAGAGAAAAAGUCAAAAAUAGAGAAUGUUUGUCAGCACUUUUGUGCCUCAUGGAAUCAGCACUAAUUAUUGGAUCUCUGUGUGUAGCUUAACAGGCAGAUUGUGAUGGUGUGAAAGUAUGUCCUUAUUAAGCUCUCCACAUUCACUGUGUCUGAAUAAACAUGCUUGGACUUCUCACCCUCAACCAUUUAUUUAGUUAAAGUCAGCUUUUUUUCCGAUCUUCACAGUUCACUAGACAAGAUUCAUCUUGCACUUGUGGAAUCUGACUAAGUCUCUGCUCCCACAGUCCUGCCUCCGCUUUGGCUUUCCAACAUCCAAACACGCAGGACUGCCUCAUCACCUGUCGUUCUGCUUUUACUUUCUGGCUGUGCUGGCACUUUUGCACAUUCACUGCCAAGAACAGCAGCACUUUUACCUGUUAUUUCAUUUAUUUUUAUUUUAUUGCACCCACUCAGAUAAAGCAUUGCAAUGUAAAAG
rnacentral:lncRNA from 12 species